rnacentral:tRNA from 1 species
UAUAUCUUAGUAUAUGAUGUAUUAUAGAUUUUGAUUCUAUAGGACUAGUUUAAUUCUAGAAGAUAUAA